AUUCCUCCUCGUCGUCCUCCGCGUCUGGUUUUUCCUGACCGCCGGAGCCGGAGCAGGCGCUUUUAUUCUCUUUUUUCCACUUCAUGCGGCGGUUCUGGAACCAGAUUUUGAUCUGCCUCUCGGUGAGACACAGCGCGUGGGCGAUCUCGAUGCGUCUCCUCCUGGUCAGUUUAGACACCAGAAAAUCGGGAUGCUUGGCGAAUAAAUAGAGAAAUACAGCGGAGCAGAGCGACAGAGACAUCUGCUACCUACAGCAAUCCAACUAUUUGUCCUCUCUUAAAGCUGUCAUCGGGAUGCCUGCUUGGAAGUUCUGCUUGGAGGCGUCUCCGGGGCACAUCACCGAGAGGCUUUGCUCGAAGGGGGCACAGUGCAUGUUGAAGGAGCCGGGCUCCAGGCCGUACCCCG